CUACGGGGGGCUGCAGUAGGGAAUAUUGCGCAAUGGGCGAAAGCCUGACGCAGCAAUGCCGCGUGAGUGAGGAAGGCCUUCGGGUUGUAAAGCUCUUUCAGCAGGGAAGAAUGGCAGUGGUGUUAAUAGCAUCAUUGAUUGACGGUACCUGCAGAAGAAGCACCGGCUAACUUCGUGCCAGCAGCCGCGGUAAUACGAAGGGUGCAAGCGUUGUUCGGAUUUACUGGGCGUAAAGCGCGUGUAGGCGGAAAAGUAAGUCAGAUGUGAAAUCUUGGGGCUCAACCCCGAAACUGCGUCUGAAACUGCUUUUCUAGAAUCCUGGAGAGGAAUGGGGAAUUUCAUGUGUAGGGGUAAAAUCCGUAGAGAUAUGAAGGAACACCUGAGGCGAAGGCGCCAUUCUGGACAGGCAUUGACGCUGAGACGCGAAAGCGUGGGGAGCAAACAGGAUUAGAUACCCGUGUAGUC
rnacentral:rRNA from 1 species